rnacentral:lncRNA from 1 species
AGGUGAUGUCACGAUGCUACGAUUUCGAUUUCGUGAUUUUUGGAAGCUUACGCCGCGAGCUGCGGCAAUCUGUACCGAAAUCGGCCUUUUCUUCAAUAUCUUCGCGUAGCCUCGUCGUAUCGCCGAACCGACUUCGCCAGCGCGUCAGAAAACCUAGCAAUUAGGUUUAUACAGGCUCAAUUUAGAUCGAACCCUCACAUAUUGCAAAAUCCCAUUUUUGAGCCCGAACAUGCAAUUACCUCCAAAUAAUCCAAAUUAAAUGAAGCAACAUGCUAAGAAUGCUUAUUAGAGGUUACUAGAACACUUAAGGUUAAGGAUUAAGCCAAAUCGCAAAAGUUUACCAAAAAGUGAACGCCGAGACGGAAGCACGCCGCUCCAACGGGUGCACGAAAGGUCGAUCCGUCGCUCCCAACGCGUUCGCAAGCUUGUUCUCCGCC